UCCAUGCAUCAGACUGAGCUCUGGGCGCCGCUCUGACGGGCUGUUAAGUACCGGAGAGUGUAAACCAGGCAGCAGCUAGUGGACCGGAUCGCACGUCGACGUCGCCGCCUUAUUGGACCUGGCAGGACGGGACUCCAUUUGAACUGACCUGGUAAGCCGCCUGCUCCUCCUCCUACUCCCUGGCCUGUUCCUGCAGAACCUCCUGUGCCUGUUGUUCCUCCUGCUACACCACCUGGACAGACAAUUUUCCAUUAUAAACAAGAAACUCACCUGAGCCUCCAAUGAUACCUCCUGUUCCUGCACCAGGAAGAACUCCUGCUCCACCACCUGAUGAACAGAGGCAGGGUUGGAGUAAAUUAGACUAUACAUGAAUAUAAAGUAAUAUAACGGAUAAGUAUCUCCGCAAGUUAAUAACCGUCGUGACAAAGCUUCAAGUUUAUUGUAUUUUGUUAUAUAAACGUAAUUAUACAUAAUAAUAUGGAAAUGUCACUGUUGUUUUAUUUAGUUCUGAUAAAAGUAAAUGUUAUAUCCUUCAAGAGGCUAACACUUGCUGAACCAAUUCAAGCUAUAUCUGCAUAUUAAAGAUUAUCAAGUCCUUUAAUUAGAUUUUUUUCCACUUAGUCAUAAUACACAGUGAUUUGGUGUCUACUGUAGAGCACAGUACUACAAUAGAGCCUUGGUGGCAACGUACAAUACGAACUUGCAUCAGUAAUUAUUAGAAAGUUAUAAUUAGGUAUUUAUAUGCAUCAGUGGAGAAUUUUACCUGGUCUAUAGCCAGUUCCACCCAACGAUGAGCCGUAACCAGAUUUAGGCUUCCUUUUCCCAAGUGCUUGGCCACCAGGUCCAUAUCCACCUGCACCACCAGGUCUAAAGCCCCCUGGUCCUGUUCCAGCACCUCCUGGACCGUAGCCACCAGUUCCAGCGCCUCCUGGGCCGAGUCCGCCAGUUCCAGCUCCUCCUGGGCCAUAACCACCGGUUCCAGCUCCUCCUUGGGCCAUAACACCGGUUUCAGCGCCUCCUGGGCCAUAACCACCGGUCCCAGCACCUCCUGGGCCGAGGCCGCCAGUUCCAGCUCCUCCUGGGCCAUAACCACCGGUUCCAGCGCCUCCUGGGCCAUAACCACCAGUGCCAGCGCCUCCUGGGCCGAGGCGGCCAGUUCCAGCUCCACCAGGACCACCUCCUGUACCUCCUCCCAAUCCUCCUGCUGGGAAACAGAUCUAAAUAUAUUAGCACAACUAGAUACCACAUUAAUGUAUAAAAAGAUAUUUACGAUCUCUGAUCUUAACCCAAACCUCACCUUGUCCAUACCCAGCUCCUCCAUAACCUGAAAUAAAGGAUGAGAAAGAAUUUGGUCAAACAAUGUCCUGCUAAUUAUUUUAUUAAAACAGUCAAAUCUAACGCAUGCCUCCAUCAGUAAAAAAUAAAAUGUAUCACCUGCUUUAUAGUUUUACUUGUAUGAUCAUUACUUGCCAGAUUUAGAGGGUUUUCUUUUUCCUAAUCCUUGGCCCCCUGGUCUGACGCUACCUGUUCCUGUGCCGACACCACCUGGUCCAAAACCU